GAGUUUGAUCAUGGCUCAGAACGUACGCUGGCGGCACGCCUAACACAUGCAAGUCGAACGAAGUAGCAAUACUUAGUGGCAGACGGGUGAGUAACAUGUAGGUAUCUGCCCUUUGGCCUGGAAUAACACGAGGAAACUUGUGCUAAUACCGGAUAAGUCUUUACGGAGAAAGCUUUAUGCACCAUUGGAUGAGCCUGCACUUGAUUAGUUUGUUGGUGGGGUAAUGGCCUACCAAGACUUUGAUCAAUAGCUGAUUUGAGAGGAUGAUCAGCCACAUUGGGACUGAGACACGGCCCAAACUCCUACGGGAGGCAGCAGUGGGGAAUCUUGCACAAUGGAGGAAACUCUGAUGCAGCGAUGCCGCGUGAGUGAAGAAGGCCCUUGGGUUGUAAAGCUCUUUCGUCGGGGAAGAAAAUGACUGUACCCGAAUAAGAAGGUCCGGCUAACUUCGUGCCAGCAGCCGCGGUAAUACGAAGGGACCUAGCGUAGUUCGGAAUUACUGGGCUUAAAGAGUUCGUAGGUGGUUGAAAUAGUUGGUGGUGAAAUCCCAGAGCUUAACUCUGGAACUGCCAUCAAAACUUUUCAGCUAGAGUUUGAUAGAGGAAAGCAGAAUUUCUAGUGUAGAGGUGAAAUUCGUAGAUAUUAGAAAGAAUACCAAUUGCGAAGGCAGCUUUUCUGGAUCAUUACUGACACUGAGGAACGAAAGCAUGGGUAGCGAAGAGGAUUAGAUACCCUCGUAGUCCAUGCCGUAAACGAUGUGUGUUAGACGUUGGAAAUUUAUUUUCAGUGUCGCAGCGAAAGCGAUAAACACACCGCCUGGGGAGUACGACCGCAAGGUUAAAACUCAAAUGAAUUGACGGGGACCCGCACAAGUAGUGGAGCAUGUGGUUUAAUUCGAAGAUACGCGCAGAACCUUGCCACACUUGACAUGUUCGUCGCGACUUUAGAGAUUAAAGUUUUCGGUUCGGCCCGGACGAAAACACAGGUGCUGCAUGGCUGUCGU
rnacentral:rRNA from 1 species